CCUACGGGAGGCUGCAGUAGGGAAUAUUGCUCAAUGGGGGAAACCCUGAAGCAGCAACGCCGCGUGGAGGAUGAAGGUUUUCGGAUUGUAAACUCCUUUUGUUAGAGAAGAUAAUGACGGUAUCUAACGAAUAAGCACCGGCUAACUCCGUGCCAGCAGCCGCGGUAAUACGGAGGGUGCACGCGUUACUCGGAAUCACUGGGCGUAAAGAGCGCGUAGGCGGGAUAGAAAGUCAGAUGUGAAAUCCUAUGGCUUAACCAUAGAACUGCAUUUGAAACUGUUAUUCUAGAGUAUGGGAGAGGUAGGUGGAAUUCUUGGUGUAGGGGUAAAAUGCGUAGAGAUCAAGAGGAAUACUCAUUGCGAAGGCGACCUGCUAGAACAUAACUGACGCUGAUGCGCGAAAGCGUGGGGAGCAAACAGGAUUAGAUACCCCAGUAGUC
rnacentral:rRNA from 1 species